GAACAUCAGGUGACAUUUAUGAAGGAGCUUAAUAAGUUAAAAAACCUGGAAACUGAAGUGCCUCAAAUAUCUUGUACUCAACAAGAACCCUGUGAGAAUGAGGGCUCAUUUGUUGCCCAACCUUGGCCAGCAGUAUACAACCUGCCUGUCUUUCCCCCUGAACUGCAAGCAGCUUUGCAGAGGAAGGAUUCCGGCUUUAAGAAGAAG